UACGGAGGGAGCUAGCGUUGUUCGGAUAUACUGGGCGUAAAGCGCACGUAGGCGGCGCAGCAAGUCAGGGGUGAAAUCCCGGAGCUCAACUCCGGAACUGCCCUUGAAACUGCAGUGCUAGAAUCCUGGAGAGGCGAGUGGAAUUCCGAGUGUAGAGGUGAAAUUCGUAGAUAUUCGGAAGAACACCAGUGGCGAAGGCGACUCGCUGGACAGGUAUUGACGCUGAAGUGCGAAAGCGUGGGGAGCAAACAGG
rnacentral:rRNA from 1 species